rnacentral:rRNA from 1 species
CAACCUACCUAUCAGAGGGGAAUAACCCGGCGAAAGUCGGACUAAUACCGCAUAAAACAGGGGCACCGCAUGGUGAUAUUUGUUAAAGAAAUUCGCUGAUAGAUGGGCAUGCGUUCCAUUAGGUAGUUGGUGAGGUAACGGCUCACCAAGCCGACGAUGGAUAGGGGAACUGAGAGGUUGGUCCCCCACACUGGUACUGAGACACGGACCAGACUCCUACGGGAGGCAGCAGUGAGGAAUAUUGGUCAAUGGGCGGGAGCCUGAACCAGCCAAGUCGCGUGAAGGAAGAAGGAUCUAUGGUUCGUAAACUUCUUUUGCAGGGGAAUAAAGUGCAGGACGUGUCCUGUUUUGUAUGUACCCUGAGAAUAAGGAUCGGCUAACUCCGUGCCAGCAGCCGCGGUAAUACGGAGGAUCCGAGCGUUAUCCGGAUUUAUUGGGUUUAAAGGGUGCGUAGGUGGUCUGAUAAGUCAGCGGUGAAAGUUUGCAGCUUAACUGUAAAAAUGCCGUUGAAACUGUCGGACUUGAGUGUAAAUGAGGUAGGCGGAAUGCGUGGUGUAGCGGUGAAAUGCAUGGAUAUCACGAAGAACUCCGAUUG